UACGAAGGGGGGCUAGCGUUGCUCGGAAUCACUGGGCGUAAAGGGUGCGUAGGCGGGUCUUUUAAGUCAGGGGGUGAAAUCCUGGAGCUCAACUCCAGAACUGCCUUUGAUACUGAAGAUCUUGAGUUCGGGAGAGGUGAGUGGAACUGCGAGUGUAGAGGUGAAAUUCGUAGAUAUUCGCAAGAACACCAGUGGCGAAGGCGGCUCACUGGCCCGAUACUGACGCUGAGGCACGAAAAGCGUGGGGGAGCGAACAGG
rnacentral:rRNA from 1 species